UGCAGUCGAACGGUAACAGGUCUUCGGACGUUGACGAGUGGCGAACGGGUGAGUAAUACAUCGGAACGUGCCCAGUCGUGGGGGAUAACUACUCGAAAGAGUAGCUAAUACCGCAUACGAUCUGAGGAUGAAAGCGGGGGACCUUCGGGCCUCGCGCGAUUGGAGCGGCCGAUGGCAGAUUAGGUAGUUGGUGGGAUAAAAGCUUACCAAGCCGACGAUCUGUAGCUGGUCUGAGAGGACGACCAGCCACACUGGGACUGAGACACGGCCCAGACUCCUACGGGAGGCAGCAGUGGGGAAUUUUGGACAAUGGGCGAAAGCCUGAUCCAGCAAUGCCGCGUGCAGGAUGAAGGCCUUCGGGUUGUAAACUGCUUUUGUACGGAACGAAAAAGCUUCUCCUAAUACGAGAGGCCCAUGACGGUACCGUAAGAAUAAGCACCGGCUAACUACGUGCCAGCAGCCGCGGUAAUACGUAGGGUGCGAGCGUUAAUCGGAAUUACUGGGCGUAAAGCGUGCGCAGGCGGUUAUGUAAGACAGAUGUGAAAUCCCCGGGCUCAACCUGGGAACUGCAUUUGUGACUGCAUGGCUAGAGUACGGUAGAGUG
rnacentral:rRNA from 1 species